CACGUAGGGCGCAAGCGUUGUCCGGAAUUAUUGGGCGUAAAGAGCUCGUAGGCGGUCUGUUGCGUCCGCUGUGAAAACUCGGGGCUUAACCCCGAGCCUGCAGUGGAUACGGGCAGACUAGAGGUAGGUAGGGGAGAAUGGAAUUCCCGGUGUAGCGGUGAAAUGCGCAGAUAUCGGGAGGAACACCGGUGGCGAAGGCGGCGACCUGGGUUGACACUGACGCUGAGGCGCGAAAGCGUGGGGAGCAAACAGG
rnacentral:rRNA from 1 species